rnacentral:rRNA from 1 species
GGCGGCGUGCUUAACACAUGCAAGUCGAGCGGAAAGGCCCUUCGGGGUACUCGAGCGGCGAACGGGUGAGUAACACGUGAGUAACCUGCCCCUGACUCUGGGAUAAGCCUGGGAAACCGGGUCUAAUACCGGAUACGACCAUUUCUCGCAUGGGAUGGUGGUGGAAAGUUUUUUCGGUUGGGGAUGGGCUCGCGGCCUAUCAGCUUGUUGGUGGGGUGAUGGCCUACCAAGGCGACGACGGGUAGCCGGCCUGAGAGGGCGACCGGCCACACUGGGACUGAUACACGGCCCAGACUCCUACGGGAGGCAGCAGUGGGGAAUAUUGCGCAAUGGGCGGAAGCCUGACCCAGCGACGCCGCGUGGGGGAUGACGGCCUUCGGGUUGUAAACCUCUUUCAGCAGGGACGAAGUUGACGUGUACCUGUAGAAGAAGCGCCGGCUAACUACGUGCCAGCAGCCGCGGUAAUACGUAGGGCGCGAGCGUUGUCCGGAAUUAUUGGGCGUAAAGAGCUCGUAGGUGGCUUGUCGCGUCUGCCGUGAAAGCCCGUGGCUUAACUACGGGUCUGCGGUGGAUACGGGCAGGCUAGAGGCUGGUAGGGGCAAGCGGAAUUCCUGGUGUAGCGGUGAAAUGCGCAGAUAUCAGGAGGAACACCGGUGGCGAAGGCGGCUUGCUGGGCCAGUUCUGACGCUGAGGAGCGAAAGCGUGGGGAGCGAACAGGAUUAGAUACCCUGGUAGUCCACGCUGUAAACGUUGGGCGCUAGGUGUGGGGGUCUUCCACGACUUCUGUGCCGUAGCUAACGCAUUAAGCGCCCCGCCUGGGGAGUACGGCCGC